rnacentral:rRNA from 1 species
UACAGAGGUCUCAAGCGUUGUUCGGAUUUAUUGGGCGUAAAGAGCGUGUAGGCGGCCAGGUAGGUCUGCUGUGAAAACUCGAGGCUCAACCUCGAGACGUCGGCGGAAACCAUCUGGCUAGAGUCCGGGAGAGGAGAGUGGAAUUCCUGGUGUAGCGGUGAAAUGCGCAGAUAUCAGGAAGAACACCAAUGGCGAAGGCAGCUCUCUGGGACGGUACUGACGCUGAGACGCGAAAGCGUGGGGAGCGAACAGG